rnacentral:rRNA from 1 species
AUUGAACGCUGGCGGCAGGCCUAACACAUGCAAGUCGAACGGUAGCACAGAGAGCUUGCUCUCGGGUGACGAGUGGCGGACGGGUGAGUAAUGUCUGGGAAACUGCCCGAUGGAGGGGGAUAACUACUGGAAACGGUAGCUAAUACCGCAUAACGUCGCAAGACCAAAGUGGGGGACCUUCGGGCCUCACACCAUCGGAUGUGCCCAGAUGGGAUUAGCUAGUAGGUGGGGGAAUGGCUCACCUAGGCGACGAUCCCUAGCUGGUCUGAGAGGAUGACCAGCAACACUGGAACUGAGACACGGGCCAGACUCCUACGGGAGGCAGCAGUGGGGAAUAUUGCACAAUGGGCGCAAGCCUGAUGCAGCCAUGCCGCGUGUAUGAAGAAGGCCUUCGGGUUGUAAAGUACUUUCAGCGGGGAGGAAGGCGGUGAAGUUAAUAGCUUCACCGAUUGACGUUACCCGCAGAAGAAGCACCGGCUAACUCCGUGCCAGCAGCCGCGGUAA